rnacentral:lncRNA from 1 species
GAUCAUUCUAAUUGUUAGGAUUUAAUUAAAUUAAAUGGAUUUGAUCUGAAACUGUUCGGAUCUUGAAAUUCACUUGUCACAUAUCCAUGCAUGGCGCCAUAAAUUGAUUUUUAAUAUGAUUAAAAAUUAAUUUAAUUUAUUUAAUGGUGCCAUGGGACACUUGGCAACAUCAGGGACCUCUUUCAUCAUUAGAUGGGUCGAAAUGGAGAGAUAAAUUUAUGAAAAGAAUUGGAUAAGAUCAAAUUCUCUCUCUUCAUGACAUAUGCCAUCCUUAUCUUUAUCUCACUUCUAAUUAAGGUUGAAUUUCAAAUUUAAUCAUCACAAAAUCACCACGUGACCCUCUAAUCUGUUUGGGGGCAUGGAAAUUUCGAAAUUGAAAGAGGAAAGUGGCAACAUGAUGAAUGGUUUAGAUUAGAUCAAGCUUCAUCAUGUAAUGGCACAUGAACUUGAAUUUUGAAUUCAAAAUUCAAAACCCCACAAAAUCCUCCACAAAUAUGGGAUGGUUGGCNN